AUGUUACCACAUGUUUUGUACCUAAGUUAUCAUGUGUGUGGCGCAUAUAUUACCAUACUAUUUACACAUAACUUAUUGGGAGUAUUUCAACAACUUUUUUUCCUCGGUCAAAGUUACCAUGGUGUCUUAUAUAUAUCUAAGUCAUCAUGUUUGUGGUGCAUAAAUCACCAUGUAAAUGUACAAAAAGAGUUACAACGUUAUGUUAUCAAGAACUUUUCUCCCCGGGUGAAAGUUAUCAUCGUGUUUCUACGUAAUUUAUCAAAAAUUAUCAUGCUACUUACACAUAAAUUAUUGGCUGCAUUAUCAUUUCUAUUUGAACAGAAGUUAUUGUAUAUAAGCCAUUGGGUUCAUGGUGCGUAUAUUACCGUGUUAUUCACACAAAAGUUAUCGGAAGGUAUGUUUCCAACAACUUUAUUCCCGGUCAAAAACUUAUCAUGGGGUAUGUAUUUGAGUUAUCAGCUCCGUGAUGCGUAA
rnacentral:rRNA from 1 species